UACGUAGGGUGCAAGCGUUAAUCGGAAUUACUGGGCGUAAAGCGUGCGCAGGCGGCUUUGCAAGACAGAUGUGAAAUCCCGGGGCUCAACCUCGGAACUGCCUUUGAUACAGCACGUCUCGAGUCCGGAAGAGGUGGGUGGAAUUCCUAGUGUAGAGGUGAAAUUCGUAGAUAUUAGGAAGAACACCGGUGGCGAAGGCGGCCCACUGGUCCGGUACUGACGCUGAGGUGCGAAAGCGUGGGGAGCAAACAGG
rnacentral:rRNA from 1 species